rnacentral:rRNA from 1 species
GACGUAGGGCGCGAGCGUUGUCCGGAUUUAUUGGGCGUAAAGAGCUCGUAGGCGGCUUGUUGCGUCGGCUGUGAAAACCCCGCGGCUUAACCGUGGGCUUGCAGCUGAUACGGGCAGGCUAGAGUUCGGUAGGGGAGACUGGAAUUCCUGGUGUAGCGGUGAAAUGCGCAGAUAUCAGGAGGAACACCGGUGGCGAAGGCGGGUCUCUGGGCCGAUACUGACGCUGAGGAGCGAAAGCGUGGGGAGCGAACAGG